rnacentral:misc_RNA from 1 species
AGUGCCGCCGUGACUGCGCUGCCGGACCGCCGCGAUGCUCCGCCGGCGGCCGCCGCUGCCGCUGCCGCUGCUACUGCUGCUGCUGCUCGACGCUGCGCUCGCAGAGGAGAAAUGCCAGCCAGUGUUCGACGUGUGCGAGUCGGCGCCGAGCGCCAACACGCACUUCCUCUCCAAGAACAACACCCAGGUGGUGGCCUCGCCCGGCGAGACGGUCCUGCUGCCCUGCCAGCUCCAGAAGCCCUCCGACUAUAAGGUGUCCUGGCUGUUCAAGGCGACCCGUCGCCUUCUGACCGUCCAGGACUGGACGUUCACACAGGAUGACCGGCUCUCUGCCAGGCUCAACACCUUAACCAAUACAUGGAAUUUGAAAAUAACCAACGUCUCAGUGGAAGAUUCAGGAAUAUACGAGUGCCAAGUGUCGGCCCAUCCAUGGGACCGGCUGCAAGUUCGGCUCAAGAUAUCAGAUCCGGACGGGUCCAACCGGCGGACAGAGCACGUGCCGCUAGUCAGGGACUAUGGCGAGCCGGGCUUCCACCUGGAGAACAGCGCGCUGUGUCCGGAUGGCGGCCAGAACGUGAAGCUGGUCAUCCUGGUGCAGAGUGCGCUGCAAAACUCCAACCAGCGCAGCGUCAUCCGCCACACGUGGGCGCGGCCGGCCAACUUCCGGGACGACAUCGUCAUGGGCUUCGUGGUGGCUCGCACCGACGACCCGGCCCUCCAGAAGGGCGUCGAGUACGAGCAGUCGCUCUACGGCGACAUCAUCCAGGCCAACUUCGUCGAUCACUACAACAACCUCACUCUCAAGACGGUAGCCAGCCUGGAAUGGUUCGACGUGCACUGCGGUGCGGCGAAGUUCGUGCUCAAGGUCGAUGACGACGUAUUCCUGAACAUCAGAAACCUGGAAUCGUUCAUUGACGAGCAUCGUGAUGCGCGACGUACCAUUUUUGGAAAUGUCAUUUACAAUCCAAUGCCGAACCGUGACAAAGAAUCUAGAUACUAUGUGAGCCCUAAGAUAUGGGAGAAGACCAAGUACCCGCGGUACACGAGUGGUCCACUGUAUCUCGUCACGGGGGACAGCGUGCGCGAGCUGCGGCAGCGCGUACUGGAGAGGCCCUACUUCUUCAUCGAGGACGUCACCGUCACCGGCAUCGGCGCCAAGAUGGCGGCCGUGCGGCGCGUGCGAGCGCCGGAGUUUUUCACCUACCCGGUGCCGCUGACGGACACGUGUCUGUACCGCAUGCUGGUUGGCGCCCACCAGGUGCCCGCCAAGGAGAUGUCAGCGCUGUGGAACCGCGUCGUGGACAAAACUGUAAAAUGUCCGUACACAUACGAACCAAAACACUGGAAGCCAUGCACCAAACUGAAGGCGCAGGAAAGCCUCAAACACUGCGUGCUCACCCUUUUCACAGCACCUAAGAACGGUUGAAGGGAAACUAAUCUAUUCAUUUGAACAUUUGGUCUCGAGCUGGGGCGGUCACUUCCAAGGCUGCCGAGUGUUUUUCAACCCUGUUGUGAGGACAUCUUAGCGUAGAACCGAGCGAACGAGGAUUAGUCUGGUGUAUCGUCCUCACAUACUCGUAUUCACUAUUCAUAAACAGUGUUGUUCCUUGUGUAACUGUAAUGUGUAGGGGAAAGUUGGGUAAUAUCGGCCAGUAGGUAAUAUCGGACAGGCAGUUAUCCUCUGAACUCUCCCCAGGUGCAUACGCAAAUAUUUUAUUUGGAAAAAAGGUAGCGCUGGAUUUCCUUUGUCACCACCUCCUACACUCCUACACUCAGUCGCUAUAGCGUGUUCGUAAGUGCGGGAGGUACGUUUCGGGGAGGGCAGAGAUGACAUUUGGAGCUUCUCCGUGUCGAACGUUCCUCGUCUCGUGCAGUAUAUUUCUCAUGUGUAAUGAUGAUGAACAAAGAUCUGCGAAAACCAA